GACGAACGCUGGCGGCGUGCCUAACACAUGCAAGUCGAGCGAGGAGAGUUACUUCGGGAACAAACCUAGCGGCGACGGGUGAGUAACACGUGGGCAACCUGCCUUGUAGAGGGAAUAGCCUUCCGAAAGGAAGAUUAAUACCGCAUAACAUUAGAGUUUCGCAUGAAACAGUAAUUAAAGGAGCAAUCCGCUACAAGAUGGGCCCGCGGCGCAUUAGCUAGUUGGUGAGGUAACGGCUCACCAAGGCGACGAUGCGUAGCCGACCUGAGAGGGUGAUCGGCCACAUUGGGACUGAGACACGGCCCAGACUCCUACGGGAGGCAGCAGUGGGGAAUAUUGCACAAUGGGGGAAACCCUGAUGCAGCAACGCCGCGUGAGUGAUGAAGGUUUUCGGAUCGUAAAGCUCUGUCUUCGGGGACGAUAAUGACGGUACCCGAGGAGGAAGCCACGGCUAACUACGUG
rnacentral:rRNA from 1 species